rfam:Triticum aestivum genome assembly, contig: Triticum_aestivum_CS42_TGACv1_scaffold_577201_7BL
CAAGUACUACCUCCGUCCGGAAUUACUUGUCAUCAAAAUGGAUGUGCCUAGAACUAAAAUACAUCUAGAUACAUCCAUUUCAAUGACAAGUAUUUUCGGACGGAGGGAGUACAAG